GAACAGCUCCCAAGCCUGUGUCUGUGGCCUGCACUCAGCUGGCAUUUUCUGGCCCAAAGCUGGCUCCCCGGCUCGGCCCUCGCCCAGUUCCCCCUCCAAGGCCUGAGAAUACCGGGCCUGUGUGUCCAGGUCGGGCCCAACAGAGACUGGAGCAGACCAGCUCAUCCUUGGAAGCUGCACUGAGGGCGGCUGAGAAGAACAUUGGCUCUGAGGAACAAGAUGGGUGAGCUGGGUGCAGUGGGGAGGGGGAGAAGGCUGUGCCUGGGAGACAUCUUGGGCUACAGAGGCCUCAGUGGGACCUAGGUUUUAGAGCGGCCUACAGAGAUUACUGUCGACUAUCCCUCAACAGGCACACUGAUUUGGGUAACUCCUUGCCCCUGAGCCUCUGAGCUCAUCUGUAAGGGAAGGACAGUAAUCCCUGCCGGUGGGCUGCAGACCCACUCGCCCACCUCAUCAAGGUUUUCUUUCCCUUGAUGUAGCCCCACAGGGCCAUCCACCAAGCACAUUCUGGACGACAUCAGUACCAUGUUUGAUGCCCUGGCUGACCAGUUGGAUGCCAUGCUGGACUGAGCAAAACUUGGCCUGUGACUCUCCCUCCUGUCAGCGUUCACUGCCUGUGACCCAGCAUGGAGGAAGCCCUUGCCACGCAAGGAACAGGCAGAGGCUGGUUUGGGCUGGGGUAUCCUUCCAUGGCAGAGGCCUCCUAUGGCUCCAAGCGGUGGCUGGCAGUCCCAAAGAGGCUGAGAGGACUCGUCAGAACCUGACUGAGUGAGGGGCCUCAGCUGUGGGAGUGAGGCCUUCCCAUGCGCAGCUGACUGCACAGCUAUGGCCCCUGAACAGGGACCCUCGUGGAAGCAUUCUCCUCUAGGAGGAGGUGGCGACAGGGAUUUGGGGAUGCACCUCUUGCCGUGUCUAAAGUCCCCAUGGCCUGGGAAUUUGUCUGGCUACCCACUGAGUUACCCUAGGGCUCUGUGAGGCUGUGUGCUUGGCCAGUCCCCUCUAUGCAGGUGUAUAUAGGUGAUGUACAUAUGCACCAGGGGCAUGCCUUCCUGCUGGUGGCCUUCUGCUCCUGUCUGGCCAUCUCACACUGGGAGGCAGGGCUAGCCAGGAUCAGAGGCAAUAAGAGUAAUAGGUCCCCAGUGUCCAGACUCUUACAACUGUACAUAGUAUUUUUCAAGCAGAGAGAAAGGCAUAUAUUUUAAAUGGAAUUUAUUCUAUCUAUUAACUGCCUGAGAGGAUGCAGUAGGGGAAGGCCUUCGGGCUACAGAAGAACCGUCUACCCACCUCCUGCUGGAGGACCCAGUUGGUCUAGCCUGGGCUCUGUAACUAUUAACCUCUUCCCCCAACUAACACCAAUGAAAGAGUCAUUCCACAUGA
rnacentral:lncRNA from 1 species